AGACGUUGUCUGGAACCAGGAGUCCGCGCAGACCAGAAGUCAGGGUAGGCUGGAGGCAACUGUGGGAACAAGUCAAGAAUUUUUCUCCUUGGCCCGCCAGACAGAAAGGGGAGUCUGGAGAGCAGAUUCCCCAAAGAGCUGAUCUGUCUGAUACGUAGAAGAAGAAAUUAAGUAGGGAGAAGACACCAGCGUAUUUCCUUCAGCAAGGAUGGAGGAGGCGAAUCAUUAAGCUCUGUCCAUGUAGGCUGGAAGUAAGCCCUGGGAUGGAAUACGAGGGUACAUGGGGAAAGGCCAGAAACCUCCUCGGAGGGACCAGGCUCACCACGCACCCUGACGGUACGAGCAUGAACCUACUUUCCUGGGAACAAGGGGGAUGCCGUGACUGCAUUCUUGGACCAACCAGAAAUCACGGAUGCCAAUCCCAUGGCAACUGAGGGAAGGGGCUUCAUGCCACCUGCCAAGAGCCUGACUUUGUGUCAGACUGAACCUAUUUGUACAGGGUUAGACCUGUAGGAGAGGAUUAGUAAGGUGUAGUUACCAGGGUUGGAGAGAGAAGCUUUGGGAAAUCUAGAAGGCCAGCCCAGCCCUCCUUAGUUUACCAGGGAGUCACAGUAGAGUGAACGCUGGUUUUAGCAUCACAGGGCUUCUUAUGAAGGGCAGCUCUAGGUCCCGCCAUGAAGCAGACUAGUUAGGGGUGGGCAGGAUCUGAAACUCCUUCGUGGGGAUGUGUGGCUGAUUCUACCGCACUGGCAGGAGCACUGGUCUCCUCCCUUGACCCGGCCACCACAUCACCCUCCUCCGGGAUUAGGCUCAAGGUGCUCGACGACCUUGGUGUUAGGUCAGUCGUUCUGAACCAUACAAGCUGGCUCCUCUAGGAGGCUCUGUGCCAAGGAGCGAGACCAUCAGGCUGAUCAGAGACAAAGCGAGCUAGAGAGAGAAGAGGGGGAGGAAGACAGGCUGCCACCCGCAGGACCCAUGGGCAGCUAGCAACUCCUUGGACGCGCAGUCUGGAGAAUGGUCAGGGAAGUGUUUACAUCUGGUGACUCCAAGCGCUUGGCCCAGGCAUGGUCUCCUUUCACCUUCACAAGGACCCUGUGAGGUUAAGUGUCCACAGCCCCUUGUCUAGAGGAAAAGGAAUACUUCCAGAUCUCAGAGCUAAUACGCAGCGGGGUUGGGACUGGGCUCCGUCCUCAGGAAGCUGGCUGGAAAGUCCGCUCGGACUUGCUUUUCUCUUCUGCUUCAUCCCGAUGCGAGAAAGGACUUUCACAGUCAAGGAACAGGGUUCAGGGGGGCGGGGGGAGGCCUGGCCUUCCUCGGCAGGAAUUGGCCGUCAUUCUCCCGUGUGUUCUUUAAAUAUAGGAAAAUAGACGACCACGUUGGCCAACAUCCUCACAGAGAAAAUACGUGGACUCACAGCGGGAGAACAGAGUUGCCCUCAGAUGGUCCAUCCAAAGCUAAGGUUAUUUAACCAUCACCUGCAGACUCAGCUCAUGCUGGUCUCCUGAGAUCAACUCUGACCUUAGAGAAGAGGGUUUUCAGAGGCCUUUAGCUGGAUGUUUCGCCUUGACCCUGUGCACCAUUUAUGCAAACCAAGGGAAAGCUGGAAUUUUUCUCCAAACCGAGCAAUAAUGUUAACCAUACGUGGACCUAAGAUUCCUUCAUGUUCUAGUCACUUCCACGGGGAGGCUCCGUAGAAUGUAGAUUGUGGCAACACUUAAAAAAACCCUGACUUUGCCAGUUUCCUCCCCCACUUCCGAUCUCCAUCACUGCCUCGCCCCACACACCACACUCUGGUUUAGAAUUGUCUCCUUCUCCAGACAGGGCUUCCUCUUCCUCCCCCCAGCACCUAGCACUUCACUCCCAACAUCCCCCUGCAGGAAAUCUGCUCGACUCAUGACUGAGCAUUUAGUCAACGCCAAAUAUUUCAGGGAUUCUUGGAACCCACUUCACGUUGUGCUAACGCUUGAUGUUUGGUGGUUUGGUACGCUUUGCAGCUGGCUACAAAAAGCCCCACUAUCUUAUUUCAGAGAUGGCCCAAUGCUGAACACCUCAGCACUUGGAGCAUCUGUGACAUUGAAUCAGUAAAGGUCACUAGCGGAGACAAAAUGAAUCAUCCCCCAUGCCUUUAAGACACUCUUUCCAGCUCAUUAUGAUAAGAUGCCUGUUAAAAUUUUUGUCCCCCUCCAUAGCGAUUAAGCCUCAUGUGUGUUAUCUGCACUAAUGAACCACUUGCUCUUAUAUCUUUUUUUUCUAAAUGGUUUGUCACCAGGGCUGUCCUGUCCUGUAAAGCCCCAGUGACAGUGAGCUGUUGACAGAGUAUUAGAAAGAGCUCAGAUCUUUAAAGCCAGGGAUGUGACAGAGAAUUUUUUUUCAUUUUCCCAAUCUCUGCAGUCUCUGUGCUCUAACACGAGUCCAUUAAAUCAUAAAGAUUAGAGCUUGUCAGGCCCUGAGCAUCUUUCUUCUGAUUUGCAAAAACGAGUGGGGGAUUUGUUAUUAAUUUUUGUUGUUGCAGCUACAGAGCAGGCACCAUUAACUAUAGCUAAGCCAUUAACCUGAUUGGUAUUAAUCAGAAGUGUCCCGUGAGUCAUAUUGGUUGGAGAAGUCUGGAUGUUUUUCAGUAAAGAGGCUUUGUGGAAUCAAAUGAAAAUUGAUUGAUGAUCCCAGAGUACAUGUAUCCAAGUAAAGAACCAGCUACAUUCUGGGUAGCUCACUUUAAUGAAAGCAUUGUCCUUUCUGCAUGUAAAGAAGGCAAGUUGGUUUAACUGACCCAUUGCAAAGACAGUCUGUGCCUCCAAGUGCUUCUUCAUAGUAGUAAUGGGGAGGGGAGGAGGGUGGGAGAGGGAGAGAAUUGAACUGGUCUACAGAAGGUCAAGUGAUAACUGGAAUCCUGUGCAAGCCUAAAGAAUAUUCUUGCAAGACUUUAGCCCAGAGACACUACUGAGCACUAGUUCCUACAGAAUAUGUCUAAAGGUACCCAUUGACCGCCCAGCACACGCAUCUGAGGCAAUCGUCUCGGUGCAUAGUCUCCAGCCAAGGCACAGAAACAAAAUCAGAGUCCACCAAGGGAUUCAGCCCGUGACCUUGGUAUUGUCGGCACCACGCUCUAAUUAACUGAGCUGACCAGACACAGAUGCUCUGGACAGCUGAGCUAACUCUCUAUAGAAAAUGCCUAAACAAAACAGCACAGUUUUUAAAUUCUAUUAUUUCCUAGGCAACCUUUUUAAACAUUUUUUGUUGAAUGGUUGUCAUGUCAAUGCCAUCAAAAGAACCUAGAUAUUUGGGCACCUACCCAGAUUAUUAAGUAUCAUUUACAUUGAAUAGCAAAAGAAAUACUUUUCAGUUGGGGAAAAAUGGAAUUAUAUUAGCAAAGGGUUUUCCAGUAACUUAAUCCCAAUUAAUUUGUCAUUUUCUAUGCUGCCCAAAUAUAGACAACAAAAAUCCCAAGGGUUCCAAUGCAAAAUGUGAUAGAAGGUUUUCUCUGGUCCUGCUUUCCUGCAUGAAUUAUCUGCUUUAAGACAGAAUGUAGGUUUUUUCUUAUUGGUUAUAUCCUGGUUUUUUUUAAGGCCUGAGGAGACUUUUGGAAAUAUAUUAUAUAGCAUAAGAAACUAUAUACACUACUACCACAGUGUAAAAAUAUAAAUAAUUGUGGAAUUCAGUGAAGUAACAAACAGGCAUAAGAAAAUAAAAUCAGGAAUAGAGUCAGCACGCAUAACACACUCCAGGAGGUUCUGAAGAAUUGCCAAAGGUGUUUUUAAAAUUUGAUUUUGAUCAAAUGAAUUAAAAUCACAACAUUCAUAAACUACAUACACUCAUUACCCAGAAGCUGCACAGGGGCUCCAGAGGCCAAGACUGGAAACAAAGGUGUGCUGAGGUCUCUACUAAAGGGAGCAGGUAUCUGGUGAUAGAGCACGUAAGGUCUUUGCCCAUGACAUGCCGAAGGAAAGUAUAAUGAUGAAUGCCUAAUAGCUGUUGCUUUCAGUGUUGAUGACGGAUAUCUUAAAACACCUAUUGUUGACUUCACUCACUGACACUUGAUAUACACUUCUUGGGCUGCAGAUUAAAUUUUCUUGACCUUCUAUCUAAAAUCUAUCUCUCCUUAGCACAAAGGUUAAAUGGUAUUGCUUUGCAUUACUUGCAACAUACAGCACAGACCAUUGAGCAGAGGAGUUUUCUCAAAAAAAGUUUGAUUACUCAGGACAUUGACUGAUGAACAAAGAUAGGAGAUAUUUAUCAUUUUGUCUAUUUCAUACCCCGCUAUUUUUAUUCAACACCUUCUAAUUCAAUGCCACCUUCCCUUAGUCACUCAUCUACAAUAAGUGGGGGAAGACAUUUUUAGACAUUGAAACCCCAAACCUUUGACCAAAUCCAAAGAUGAUGAGGAGGAAGGUACUAAUCUAUGCUACACAAAUCGGAAUCUUUACCUUUAGGAAUGUGGCGUUGAGACUGAGCCCAUCUAGUUAAUCCGAUUUCACUCUUCAAUGAUGAGUCGUAACAUCAGGUACUCUUGAUAUUAUUGAGAACAUUGUUGUGCUCUGAAGAUAUGUAAACUGGUCAAUUCUGUGAGAACCAGAGAAGAAAGACUCACAGGUGCUGGAGGAAAGGAAGAACUGAGAGCCGUAGAAAGAAACUUCGCCAUUUCCACUCAGUGCUCCCAUCUCUGAAGAAAGUCCUUUGGUCCAGGUGGACAUCUGUGUAUCCAUAUGAUAAAUGCAAUGUUUUAGUUUAACCUAGUUUCGUGAGUUUCUGCUGUUCUCAACCAGCAUUGUUAACUAAUAAAUACAGUGACCCCAUAAUAAUCUAAUUUGCUAAUGAUCUCAAUUUGCUCACCCAAUAGAUAUUUAUU